rnacentral:lncRNA from 10 species
ACAAAUGCUGAAAUCUCAACAAAGCAUAUGUUUGCUUCUUGCUCACAUGUCCGAUGCAGUUCAAUAGAAGCUUGCCUCCAUCUGAUGACCUAGGAAUCUAGGCUCUUUCCAUGUUUUAAUACUGCCAUCUCAACAUGUGGCUUUCAAGGUCAUUUUGACUGAGGAAGGAAGAUGUGGAGAAGACUCAGUGGCUCCUAACUGCUUUGACGCAGUGGUUCUCAAUCUUGGCUGUAUACUGCAAUCACCUAAGGGAGUUUUAAAAUAAUGAUGCCAAGAUUACACUUCCAGGGUGUCUGAUUUAAUUGGACUGGGGAAGGAUCUCAACAUCAGGAUUUUUUAAAGUUAUCCCAGAUUUCACAGAAGGCAAAGAUGAACAAUGAGGACUAGAAGACUCACCAGCUUUGUGGAGACAUGGAACUUGAAUUGAAUACAGAUAACAGGAUUUGGGUAGACUUGCAUAAAAGAGCAUUCAAAGUGAAUAAGAGAGAAUAUACAAAUGGAAGACUAACCAGUGAUGGAAACAAACAAACAAAUAAAGACAGGGGCUUUGUAUACCAAUCAAACAUGUUCUAUUUGACCUGAAGGAUAUUUUAAUAAGGAAAUUUCACACAAAAAUCCAUAUUUUCAGCUUCUCUUGGAAGAGCAGAUCUGACAACAAUGGCUCAUAGCACCUAAAUGGCAAAAGCUAGUGAGGUUGACCCUUGAUAUACUCCAUGCUUUCUCCAGUGUACCUCAAUACGUAGAACUUUCUGAUGUUUCCCCCACCUGGCCUGCUUUACACACUUAUGGUAUUUUUCUAUGCCUCCAGGUAUUAAUUUGAAUAUGUAACCCUUGGAUAUGGGUCAUAUAAGAUAAAGUGAAGGGAAUGAGAACAAAUUUAAGUGAUUGGAUGAGGCCAUCUGAUACUCCCAAUUUUAGAGAAAAAAUAUUUUACUUCAUCUUUUGGACUCUAAAGAAUCUAAUUCUAUGUCACUCAAGUAUUAAUUUGAAUAUGCAGCCCUUGGAUAUGGGUCGUACAAGACAAAGUGGAGGGAAUUAUAACAGAAGAUAGAAAAUAAAUGAAGACAGUUAAUACUUUUAAUGCCUCAUAACAGUUUAAAUGCAUUUAUUUUAUCAAACCUAAGUUAAAGACUCUUCAAAUAAGCAUGGGAAAUCAUGUAAUGUAUAUGUAAAAUAAAGUAUCCCAAAUCUGGAAGCAUUUAUACUCCCUAAUAUUAUAAAAUGAACUUUGUAUUAAAGUUCAAGAAGUUCAAGAAGAAAAUUACAAUGUCUACUUUAGUCAAUAAACUAUUCCCUGUAGCUGCCUCAUUUAAUUCAAAAUAAGAAUAAAGAAACUGAGGAUGGAAUUGAUCAAAAUAAAAACAAAAACAAACUAAUCAUCUCACUGAACAGAGGCUGUGCAUAUUUAGACUACAUGACUUGCUAAGCCCUAUCUGGAUCAGAAUCUUCCUCAGCUAUUUUCACAUGGGAGCCUUAACAUUAAAAAUAAUCAUUUUCCCAAUUCUAGUACCAAGAAUGAAAGUAGCUUAAUUUGAAUUACCCUUCCAGAGGUGAUAAACUCUGGAUAAAAUAUAAAAGUUAACUAUUUAAUGCACUGGAGAGCAACCAAAAGUAGGCAGAAAUUGAAGGGGAUUGAAUUCUUGAAAGAAAGGGAAUGCAACUGGGUGAUAACAUAAACAUUUAUGUGACUUCACUUAAGGGAACACUAAAGUCUUCCCAUAUGCAGAAUGGCUAAUACUCAAGGGGAAACUUACAAGUGUAUUGCUUUAGGUGUCAGAGAAGUUUGUGUUUUCUAGAGCAGAUGGAAAUUAACAGAGCAAGUCCCAGAAAGCAGGACUUUCUAUAACUAAGGGAUUUUUCCUAAGACUAAAAGCUAAACUAAAAAGACCCUCCUAAUGAAGUGAAAAUAAAAGCUCUGUAAGUUCAAGAUCAGCCAAAAAUUAAAUUGCUAGCUAUAACUAAAGUCAUAACUCUUCACGGAGUUACUGGAAUCCAAAGUCUCUACAAUGUUCUUACAUAUGAUAUGAUACAAUAAUAAGGAGGCUUUGAUAUCUUGAGGAUGCUUACAGUAAUACCUUAAACAACUGCUAAAUAUAAAAUAAAAUAGAGGUAUGACCAAAAAGGGGGGCAAUAAAGAAAAUAAAAUGGAAUAGCAAAACAUUUCAUUAAUGCAAAAUAAGAUAGAAAAGGAGAAAGAGCAGGGGAUGAAGAGAUGCAACACAUAGGAAAAAAGCAGAAAAAUUUAUAUAAGCUCAAUCAUAGUAAAUUUUACAUUAAGGAUUCCAAUUAAAACAGAAUGCCAAACUAGACUUUUAAUAAAGCCUGUUGUCUACAAGAUGUACUUUUUGUUUUCUUUGAGAUAGAGUCUCAUUCUGACACCCCGGCUGAGUGCAGAGGCCUGAUCCUCACACCUGAACCUCACGAGUAGCAGGGACUACAGGCACAUGCAACCAUGCCUGGCUAAUCUUUUAAAAAUUUUAUUUGUAGAGACAGGUUCUUGCUAUGUUGCCAGGCUGGUCUAGAACUCCUAGGCUCAAGUGAUCCUCUUGCCUCAGCCUUCCAAAGUGCCAGGAUUACAGGCAUGAGCCAUCACGCCUGGCCAAGAGAUACAUUUUAAAUUAAAAGACAUAGAUAAGGUGAAAGGAAAAGAGAGGGGAAAAAUAUAUGUAUACACCCCCCCCCACACACACACAUAUAUAUAUAUAUAAAGAUAAGCAUUAAAAAUUAGUAUGGAAAUAUUAAUAUCAGACCAAGUAGAGUUUCAGACAAGGGAUAUUACCAGAAUUAAAAAGAUGUAUUUCAAGUGUUUGACAGAACAAAAAGGUGAUAGUCAAAUCUACAACUAUAGUUCAACAUUUGUAUAAUCCUCUUUAAUCGAUAAAAUUUUAAAAUAUAGUCAAUAUAGAGAAUAUUUAAUUAUACUAUCAACUACUUUGUCCUAAUUUGACAUAUAGAACAACACACAAAACUGCAG